AACAAACGCUGGCGGCGUGCCUAAUACAUGCAAGUCGAACGGGGAAAGCUUUCGGGUGAGUACUAGUGGCGCACGGGUGAGUAAUGCGUGGAUAAUCUGCCGUGAAGAGGGGGAUAACCAGUCGAAAGAUUGGCUAAUACCGCAUAAGAACACAGGAACUGAGGUUCUAGAGGUCAAAGGUUUUUCGCUUCAAGAUGAGUCCGCGUAAGAUUAGCUAGUUGGUGAGGUAACGGCUCACCAAGGCGACGAUCUUUAACUGGUCUGAGAGGAUGAUCAGUCACGCUGGAACUGAGGCACGGUCCAGACUCCUACGGGAGGCAGCAGUAGGGAAUAUUGCACAAUGGAGGAAACGCUGAUGCAGCGACGCCGCGUGAGUGAUGAAGGCCUUCGGGUCGUAAAGCUCUGUCGCAGGGGAAUAACACAAUGAAGGUACCCUGUAAGAAAGGAUCGGCUAACUUCGUGCCAGCAGCCGCCGCCGUAA
rnacentral:rRNA from 1 species